AGCGAACGCUGGCGGCAGGCUUAACACAUGCAAGUCGAGCGCCCCGCAAGGGGAGCGGCAGCCGGGUGAGUAACACGUGGGAACGUACCCUUUGGUUCGGAACAACCCAGGGAAACUUGGGCUAAUACCGGAUAAGUCCGCGAGGAGAAAGAUUUAUCGCCGAAGGAUCGGCCCGCGUCUGAUUAGCUAGUUGGUGUGGUAACGGCGCACCAAGGCGACGAUCAGUAGCUGGUCUGAGAGGAUGAUCAGCCACACUGGGACUGAGACACGGCCCAGACUCCUACGGGAGGCGGCAGUGGGGAAUAUUGGACAAUGGGGGCAACCCUGAUCCAGCCAUGCCGCGUGAGUGAUGAAGGCCCUAGGGUUGUAAAGCUCUUUCGGUGGGGAAGAUAAUGACGGUACCUACAGAAGAAGCCCCGGCUAACUUCGUG
rnacentral:rRNA from 1 species